rnacentral:rRNA from 1 species
CCCUUAGAUGUUCUGGGCCGCACGCGCGCUACACUGAUUCAUGCAACGAGUUUUGUCCUUGGCUGAAAGGCCUGGGUAAUCUUUGAACGUGAAUCGUGCUGGGGAUAGAUGAUUGCAAUUAUUCAUCUUCAACGAGGAAUUCCUAGUAAACGCAAGUCAUCAGCUUGCAUUGAUUACGUCCCUGCCCUUUGUACACACCGCCCGUCGCACCUACCGAUUGAAUGGUCCGGUGAAAUCUUCGGAUCUGAGGGAUGUUGGAUUAAUUUCUGACGCCUUUUGGAAAAGUCGCUUAAACCUUAUCAUUUAGAGGAAGGUGAAGUCGUAACA